rnacentral:lncRNA from 1 species
GAAAAUGCUUCUGUCAAUUUUUUCUAUGCAAAUUUGGUGUCUUUUGGUUUUGUUAAUAUAUAUUGGUCAUUUUAUGUAGCAAAAAAUUGUAUAUUUAUUUCUCUAUUUACAUUGUAAAAGUUGAGUUUUUUUUUAUAUACAAUGAAGUUAGUAAAUUGAAAUUGCUGCUUUGAACUGUUGAAAUGUAGGUGUACAUUUGAUAUUUAUGACUAUUCAAAAUCUUUUAUUUGGAAGAGCGAGAGAGAAGCUUCUCAUAUUUAAUGAGAAAUUAAGUAAAAAGAAAAAGAAUUGAAGAAGCAAAGUGGCAUUCUAAAUGAAAUUUCACUGAAAGUGGUGAGUAAACAAUAUAAUUAAAUAUUUUGCUGAUAACGAGACAAAAGUUAUUUAAUCUGAUUUAAAGAAAGAAAAACAAUGGAAACUUGUCCAACUCACAAAGAGCAAGUGAGUCAGUCGCACUGCUCUUAUUAGGAUUAAUCAUUUUAC